rnacentral:misc_RNA from 1 species
AAUUUAGCUAUCAGAGAUAUGAUGUCAAGUGAUCCGUAUGUGGUUCUCACUCUUGGGAAACAGACGGUUCAAACAACUGUAGUAAGGAGCAACUUGAAUCCAGUUUGGAAUGAGGAACUCAUGCUGUCAGUUCCACCUGUAAAGUUGGAAGUUUUCGAUCAUGACACAUUUUCAGCUGAUGACAUAAUGGGAGAAGCAGAGCUGGAUAUCCAGCCCUUGAUAACAGCAGCCAUGGCGUUCGGGGACCCAGAAAUGUUUGGAAACAUGCAGAUUGGAAAAUGGUUGAAAUCACAUGACAAUGCCUUGAUAGAUGAUAGCAUAAUUAACAUUGUGGAUGGGAAGGUGAAACAGGAGGUCUCACUCAAGCUCCAGAAUGUUGAAUCUGGGGAAUUAGAACUAGAUCUAGAGUGGAUGCCUCUUGAACAUUAGGUACUUACGAAUACCAUUUUGUUUAUCCUUCCUUUCCCAUUCAAUAAGAAUCUGUAAUGUUGAUUUGAGUUAAUUCUAUGGACUGCCAACAUUUACUUUGUCUUCUUUCGAUUGUAUUCAUUUAUUAAUGC